AAAAAAAAGAAAAGCCCCCUAAUGGGGAGAAACAAAUAGCUGCAGACCCCCUUGCCACCCAGGGGAGAGCCAUAUCUUAAAAUCUGAACUCUUCGUGGUUCCGGAAAAACAAAGAACCACAGACUCAAUAAGUUAAGAGUUUAUUUAGGGUUAUGAAAAGCCCACUAAAAAAAAAUAAAAAAAAGCCCCCUAAUGGGGAGAAACAAAUAGCCAGACCCCCUUGCCACACAGGCAAGAGCCAGAUCUUAAAAUCUGAACUCUUCGUGGUUCCGGAAAAACAAAGAGCCAGAGACUCAAUAAAUUAAAAUAGCUUAUUUAGGGUUAUGAAAAGCCCACUAAAAAAAAAAAAAAGUGAAAAAAAAAAAAGCCCCCUAAUGGGGAGAAA